CAAAAACCCAUUCACAGAACAUGGACCGACCACGGACAGACUCGCAGCAAACAACACGUGGGUGCGGUGGCACGCGUACAUGUACAUGUACGCACACGUCAUGUUCGUACGUAGGGCCUAGUCAAUUUCCACCUCCAUGAGUAUCCCUCAGCACAUUUUCGCGAAGAAAUUAGUCUUUGAGGAAUCGCUGGCACACCUACAUGAUGACAUUGAUGUAGAGGAAGUCAUAAGAGAAGAUGAUGGAGCAAGGAGUGGGCAGCAUCAGUGGAGAGCACAGAACCUGAUGUUUAGAUUUGGGAAGGCCUCAUUACCAGGUGAAUGUACUCCCAUGGCUGCCUACAUGUACAUGAACGUUGAGGGUGGCUAGCAUCAUGGUGCAAGUGGACUGACCGAUGAAAUCUCCAAAGUGAAGAGGCAGGUUACGUCAUAAGUAGUACCUUCUUCCUCAUACGAAAGCUGUGGGUAUGCCCUAAGAGAAGUAGACCAUGGUGCGCCAUUGCCUCCUUCAACCUGGAGAGAAGGAAGAUAGAGGACAAGAUCCUAUGGGACUUCAGAGAGAUGAUUCAUGAGAAUGUC